rnacentral:lncRNA from 1 species
AUAAAAUCUAAGUCUAAACGCAUUUACAAAGAGCCUGCUGAGACGCCGGGACUGAUCCAGGCGCUUUGCCAUGGCUUCCUCCCCGAUGGGGACCGUGCUUCAUGCAGGAAGAAUGUGAUGUGUGUUUUCCCAGCUUCCCCUUCGAGCUGCCCCCAAAGGUGGGAGCUGGGGGGCCUCUCGGAAGCCCAGACGGAUUCCUCAGCGCUCAGCUUUCAGAAAUUCCACGAGUCGGGCUGCAACAUGAAUCAUCCUUCGAGUUUGGAAACUGUUGCAGAAUCAAAGCCAACGGAGAACCGGGAUCCAUCGCACUAACCGUCACCAACCACGACCAGAGCCGUCCUCCCCGGGUCUACAAUUCUCUGCGGUGCCUCAAAUGAUUUCGAGGGGGUGUCCCGGAACUGCCAGAAUAACAUCGUUCCCUAAGCAAGCACGCACGAACCCUAUGGUGAGUUAUCUCCCAAAGCAUCCGGAAGCUGGAGCAAGACCAGGAGGGGGAUAGGAGCGUCCCUUACAGAGUAGUCAUCGGUGUCCCAGGAAUCUCGCCGUCGAGCAAGGGAGCCUCGAGAGGCGAUGAGCCCCAUGUUUCUCUUUAAACAGCCACACCGAGAGGGCCCGUCGUGGCGCAGGGGUAACAAAACCGACUAGCAUCCGUGAGGACGCAGGCUCGAUCCCUGGCCUCGCUCCGUGGGUUAAGGAUCCAGCGUUGCCGUGAGCUGUGGUGUAGGUCCCAGAUGCAGCUCGGAUCUGGCGUGGCUGUGGCUGUGGCGGAGGCCGGCAGCUGCAGCUCUGAUUCGGCCCCUCGCCUGGGAACGUCCAUAUGCCGCGGGUGCAGCCCUAAAAAGGCAAAAACAAACAAACAACCCUGCAAAACUGAGGCCCGAACAGGGGAAAAGACCCCCCCCAAGAUCCCAGAGUAUUAUACCACACAUGCCUCCACUCCAGAGAUGUCCACUCCAGCUCCUUAAAGACCUCUUGAAGACAUGUGCGUGUUUUCCAACAUUAUAAGCAGGUGCGUGAGAAUUCACGCGGAAAGACUCUUGCCCCGUCAGACACACACACACACACACACACCCCACCCUGCGACCUCCCCUGGUCAGCCAGCUUUUACACAGCUGGAGGGCACCCCUCGGGAAUGGUUUUCGAGAAGGAAGUGCUGCCUGUAAGAGGAGGCUUUCUGUGCGCUUCUC